rnacentral:rRNA from 1 species
GACGAACGCUGGCGGCGUGCUUAACACAUGCAAGUCGAACGGAAAGGCCCUGCUUUUGUGGGGUGCUCGAGUGGCGAACGGGGGAGUAACACGUGUGUAACCUGCACCUGUCUUUGGGAUAACUUCAGGAAACUGGGGCUCAUACCGGAUAGAAGCUCCUGCUGCAUGGGGGGGGUUGGAAAGUUUCGGCGGUUGGGGAUGGUCUCGCGGCUUAUCAGCUUGUUGGUGGGGUAGUGGCUUACAAAGGGUUUGACGGGUAGCCGGCCUGAGAGGUGGACCGGCCACAAGGGGACUGAGAGACGGACCAGACGGCUACGUGACGCAGAGGUCGAGAAUCUUGCAGAAUGGGGGGGAGCGUGAUACGGCAACGCCCCGUGCGGGAAGAUGGGCUUCUGGGUGUGAACAACUGUCGACGUAAACGAGCAGGGAGUGACGGUAAUGGGUAAAGAAGCAACGGCUAACUACGUG